GGAGCGAGAGGCACUUCAGAGCCUGGAGGGACGGACCUGCAGGAGCCAGGGUUGCCCGCCGAGCUGCAGUUGUCGCUGCUGCCGCUGUCGCCGUCGCGCUGCCACCACCGCCGCCGCUGUCAGCGCCCCUCUGAAGAGUGACAGCUCCGCAAAAGCGGGAGGGAGCACCGAGCCCCGCGCCUCUACGAAACAGGUGCAUGCGCCGAUCUCCCGGUCAGUGGACCCAGCUCGCAAGCUUAUCCAACAAAAGUAUUAACAUAUACAUUAACAACGUCGAAAGUAGCCUACUUUAAGAGAAAAUAUGCAGAAGAAGAAGAUUUACAUCAAGAUUACCAUGGGUAUUUUCCAAAACACCUGAUAUUGCCUGAGGACAGGACUUGCAUUCUCAAACUUUCUCUGGAGAAGCUCAGGUUUCUUGAAGACCCAGAAACCUACUUAAGAAGGUCUGUGUUAAUUAACAAUUUGCUGAGGAAGAUACAUCUAGAGACGGAGAAAGAGAGCUAUGAAUACUUUAAAGAAGCUCCCUGUUAUAAGACUGCUUAUUCUGAUACAAGAAAACGGCUGAAGUUCAUGGUACAGGAAUGCUGUUCUCAGUCUCUUUAUUAUGAAGAGCUGCAUUCAUAUCAUAUUGUGCCUUAUGCUUCGGAGAAUGCCAUUUAUGGAAUGGGCUACACUAGCAGCCAUUUGGAGCAGAAUUCUCAGUUGCUUAUUUAUAAAAUGAAUUAAAGUAACCGUUAAGUUCAUCAAUACUUUGUUUCUAAAUGCCUGAACUGUUUAUAGUGAAGAUGUUAAAAUAAGGCACUAAUUACCAGUGCACUUGAGAUCAAAGUUGACAUGCAUGCUGAACUGAGUGGAGAGAACCCUGGUUAUUACUCAGCGGUCCUUAGUAUCAUCCACAUUGAAAAUAUGUCCACAUACUAUAAAGCAGCAAAUAAGUGCUUUACAGGCAAAGGUUUUUAUGCUCUUUUUAAGAUAAGAUGAUGUGUACAAGGAGACCUAGGUUAAGUUCUUCUACGGAUUUAAACUUUUAAGCCCCCUGUUUCCAAAUUCUGCCACUCUUAGUGGCAAAUAACAAAAAGCGACAUUGAACUGAUAAUGUGGUGUCCUUAAAUAUUAAGUAAGGAACAGAUUUUGUUUUCUGUAAACAAUGAGGGGAAGAUAGGUUCUUUCUGAAAAAGCGUUGGCUUGUCAAACAUUGCGCCAAAUAAUUGUUUGACACCAUUUUCGUCUUACCGUUAGUGGCAAUUCAAGAUGGGGCAAACCUAUUGCAACUUAACUGCUGAAUGUAACAACCAGAUUACUCCGAACUGAUCCAUUUUAUUUUAUUUUAUUUUUGGCUUGAUAGACAUUUCUCUUAAAAGUAAAAUUUAAUAGAAUGAGCCUUGCAGAUAAGCCUUAUCUGUAAGCUCUAGAGGUCAGUUAAAGUUUGUGGUGGGCCUUCAGUUAAGAGUUUAUUUAUAAUGUCAUUUUAUUAUAAUGUCAUUUUUACAGGCUGUGAAGCUCAGGAAAAGGGUAGGCAGGUCAAAUUUGUUUUUAAUAGCUUGAUAAUUUUAAAAAGUCUUAUCUGCAAAAAUUGGUGAAAACAACAGAAGUUCUACAUGAUGUUAUUUCUUCAUCAAAGAGUACAUUUAGGGUUGCCUAAAUGAAACUUUGCACUGAUUUUUGUACAGUAGUUGACCAUUCACUAUUUGACAACAUGUUUCAGAAUGCUUUUGAUGGUGAAGUUUAGAUAAGUCCCUAUAUUUUGCAAUUUGAAAGAUAAUUAUUUAACAAGUUGGAUUGAUUCCUGAAAUUAUUUGAAGUGGUUCCUAAUGUUCUUUGAGGUUUGAGUGAGAUGUCUGAUUUCAGUGUCUGAAGUUAUGUUCUAUGGAGCAUAUCAUUUAAAGAAUUGUCAUUAACCGAUAAAACAGAUUGGGAAAACUAGGUGCCAAAGGUAUAUUCAAGAAAUACCAAAGACCCAAGAUGAGUGUUAGAGAGACUAUGAUAAUGAAGAUAAGAAUCUAAAACAAGGAUUGCACAGGACAUAGAAGAACAUUGUUAAAGGGUUUUGGAAACAAUUUGCUUACUAAUGUGCUUUCAGAAAAAUCAAGGACACUGCUUUACGUGAAGGUAUUACAGGACUUCGGCGAUCAUAUGCUUUCACAAAUCUAAAUAUGGUGAUUGUCAACAUUGUACCUUCCCUAGUUGAAUGCCAUCUUGUGACCAAGAAGUCUUUUUUUUUAAUUCAAGAGAAUAUUUUUUUUAGUUCCAAUUCGCUAUUUGUUCCCUUUACUGAAUCAUCAGGUGAGUCAUGUGGAUGUUUUUGGUAUAAAUAUUGGUGCCCUAAUUAGCAUGUGUUGUUGUUGAAGAUUAUAUAGAUCUAUAAUUGAUAAAAGUACCAGGUUUGUGCUUAGUUGCUCAAUCAGAAUUAUUAAAAAAUACUUUAGAACAAAUGGAAAACUUAUAACUGGGGCUAAUUUUUAAAGGCAAUUUUGUUUGAAUGGUGAGAUAGCUUUGAAAUAAAUAUAAAUAUUUAAAAAUUAAUUUAAGGGCAAAAUUUGGCACCAAAGUUCAAAAACUUUGUUUCACUGCUAUAAAAUAUCUUAUUUUAAGAAUACUUCUUUUAAAAAGUAGAUUUCUUAAACAAUGAGGGUAUUAAUUGAAUAGAUUCCAAAUUAGAUAGGAUAAUUAUACUACAUCUAAUUUAAAAAUAGAAUUAGUUCUCUAAUAGUUUUAACUUACUUUUUUUUAACCUGAGAGAAACACCUGGUUUGGUUUAAGACAAUAUCUGUAAGAAAAACACACCAGUGCAAACUGAUACAACUGACAAAACUGCCAUACAUCGAAAUUGUUGGAGGAUAGAAAUGUAAUUUUGGAAUAGAAUAGAGAGGGAGAGAAAAAUUACCAAGAAAGUAUGAAAUUUUAAUAGUUAGGGUAUGUCAGAAAUCUUAGAGUAACAACUUUUGGGCAGUGAACCAGCAACAGAGGUAAAGUCUGUUUUAUUUGAUGAUGUCAUUAACUGAGCUCUCUGAGCUAUAUAUACAUAUGUAGAGAAGGAAUUGUCUUAGAAACCAGUGGUAUUUGUGAAUAUGCUUUUCUUUUAAAAAAAUGAUUUCAAACCAAAUUAUUUAAAAAUAUCUUUUAAAGCAUUUAAUUUCUUUUCCAAUAAGCAAUUCAUAGGUAAGGAGUGGACUAAUGUUAUCUUGACUUUUUAAAAAACAGUAAUUUGUAUUUAAAUGAUGUAAACUUCUCUGAAUCAAUAAGAUUGCUGUCAUUCUACCGUGGCAAACUGAUACACAGAAGGACUCCAUAGAGACCUGCUUUGCUGACCCCAUCCCACAUGCUCUAUUAGGGGAGAAGUGAAAGGUAGGAGACCAGUUACAACUUUGUUGAAUGUGGACGUCCUUUCUUUGGUAACAAAAGCCAUCAGAGUAAGAAAGACAGGAUGGGAAAUCUGAAUGCCUUUGGUAAUCUUGAUCACUCUUACAUAAGGGUCCUCAGCCUGAAGGCCUAGUAAAGAAGAAAUUUAAAAAAAAGAGAUAAGAGGAAAAUGAAGCGAUGAGGAAGGAUAAAAGUGUGUUGGAGGGGUGCAGACGAAUUAAAAACAGUAUUAGGAAGUGAAAGAGAAAGCUUUUUCAUUGCUUACUUGCUACACUUUUUGACCUUUCGUGUCUGCUGUUCACUCCCAAAACCUGAUUGAUAUCCAUAACCUACUGAUACUUUCUUUCAUUCAUCAGUGAUGCAUAAGACCAGAUUUUAUUCAACAUAUGUAUUAUUUGAAAUGUGAUGUUACUGUGACAUAUCCCCAAAAGUGAACUCCCUGGCUAGAUGAAUAAAGGAAAAAAAUAGAAAUUAAUUAAGUUAGGAGAAAGACUUAAUGGUCUAAUAUAAAUGGAUCAGCUCCAACAUAUGAUCAGAUUUCAAUGUACAAUCCAAGAUUUAAUAAUUCAGUGCUAGAGGAGUUGGAAAUAAGUCUAAUUUGCCAUCAUCUAUGAAGCAACCACUAUGAGUCAGACACUGUGCCAGGGUUGGGGAUACAGAGGUGAAUGAUACACAGUCCCUUUGCUCAAGCAGUUCACUGAUGAGAGAGGAACUCAAAGAUGUUUGGUUUUGUUUUUAAAGUAUUGGGAGUAGUACUUGCAUUUUUCUUUUCUAAACUAUGGGAUGGUUAUCAAACAUGUGUCUCCAAAAGUGUUUAUAGCUAAGAAGAUCCACAAGAAGGGAAGGUCUACCAGCCUUGAUCUUAGAAGGAAAGCAAUGUACCUUCUGCUUGGCAACAUAUUUUCUACUUGGAAGCAUAAUAGAAAGCCACUAUUGUAGACAGCAAGUGUGGCUGGCUUUAGCUCAUUCCUGGGGCACAGAGAUUGUAGGGGAGAUAGGUGACAAGUGCAAGUACAGAAGAAUUCCUUCUUUCCCAAUUCUCCAGCUUUCAUGUUCAUUUGUAGGGGAAAUCAGGCUAAUACUACUCAUGUGAAGGAAAGCCUUGAAGGAGACCCAAAAUCAGGAAAUCACGGCGUUUGAGCUGUAUAUAGUGUGGUCAAGGUUAGAAGGACAACUUUCUUUAAUUUGCCUUGUGUAGUGAGCUGCUUGAAUGAACCUAGGGAUUUCUUUACAUCAGCUCUGGAACCAGCUCUUCCUUCCCUCCACUCUGAAUCACAAUCCAACCCCAGACCUUGCAGUCUGCUGGAAAGGGGAGGUUUGGGUUCUAAUUCUUCACCUUCCUACUUCCCCCAGCAUUGAUAUUGAAUUGCUCAAAGAUACUUGGAAGAAGAAAGCAACAAUUUGCAGUACUGGUUGAAUUCCCCUUUGACAAAAGGUUUCCAAAGUGUGUCAAAGUAGAAUUCAUUAGUUUUUGAUAUAAUUCUUUAAAAAACUAUUGUAAUAGUCAUUAAAUAAUUGACUACUAAGGUAGUCUUCACAUUUCUAGGGUUCAGUGUAAUAGUUAUCACUUGUGUAUGUUUUGCUGAAGAAAAUACCUUAGUUUUGCUGAAGAAAAUACCUUAGAUUGGAAAAAGUGAAAGACUAUGUACAAUUAAUACAAGCAGUUCAUGAUUAUUAUCUAAUAUAGAAUUUUAAUUUACAUUUUCCCAUUCUCAAAUUUCAUUUUAUACAUCAGCAAUGUGACAUGUUCCAGGUGUUUUGUUUUUUGUUAUUAAGUGGAUCAUGUCUAAAAGUUGUUACAUUCAUGGUUGAACAAUUUGAACAAAAUUUUCCUAUUAGCAUAGUUCUAUCUUUCCCCAAGAAUUAUUCUAUAGUUGGGUAAAGAACAUUCCUCUACAUUAACACUUCUCAAAGCUUCUUGUGCGUAUGAGUCACUGGAGAUCUUGUCAAAACACAAAUUCCUUUUGGUAGGUCUGGGAUGGGGCCUGGGAAUAUGCAUUUCUUACAUCUCUUAGGUGACGUGGGUGCUGCAGUCUACCAACCACACUUUGGGUAAUAAAGCUCUCAAUCAUUUUGAAAAUCUGAAUAUACAUACCAACCUAUAUUCUGAUUCCUUUCAAAGAAUAUGAGUUUGUGUCUGUUUUCUAUAGAAUUUUUUAAUCUAAAGAAAUGAAAGAUAAAGUUUCCAAAUUGGCCACAAAUAUUAUAAUAUUUUAUAUACCAAAAUACACACAAAAUGAUUUCUCAUACAAAUUUUAUCUACAUCAAGUGCAAAAAAGGAACAUAGAUGUAGUCAUGUACCGUUCUUAUCAGUCAGGAAAUGACACAUGAUAAAAUUUUCUUCUAGGUUGCUUUCUCUUGAUUAUACCCAGAUAAGUGAGCUCUAUUUGUUAACCCUACAGCAAAGGUGAAAUUUUGUUCAUAGUUAAGAAGAAUUUGGCAUGUUCUUGCUUGGCCAAACCUGAGAAGACCUUCUAAAAACUUUCGAUAUUAAAUUCAGACUUGUCAGUGAAUACAUGGGCUGAACAAUUGGGUAAACAUAAACUGAAAAAACAGCACCUGGAUCUUCAACUUGUUGUUUUGAACUCUUUCUUGAGCUUUAGUCCAUGAGAAACCCUCCCCUUGCUAUGGACUCAUUGUUUCUCUAUAGUAGUCAGUGUCUAAAUGAGGGAUGGAUGAUUGGUGUGAAUGAGGGAGUUGCACAAAUUGUCUAAUUUGAGCAUGCCAAGUGAUUUUUGUCAAGCUCUCCUUUGGUCAUAAAUUGUUGAUAUAGCUAUUGUGAAUAUAGUGUCAAAAAUUUGUCAUAAGCCAUUAAUGAAGGGGAAAAAAAGCAGAAAUUUAGUUCUGUGGGAAUGCACCCAAAUAUCAAGCAGAUGGUGUUCUACAACAUUUAUUUGGGAAACUGUGUAUCUGUUACAUAAUCUAAAAUAUGUCAUUUUCACAUUUAAAAAUAUUUGGGUCAUGAUUUAGAGUUUUUAUUGGAUUGUUUUUUAAACUGAGAGGAAGAAGAAAGGUAACUGUAUUUUAAAACAUAUUUGACAUGUUACUAAUAAAAUUUUAUUUCUGGUGAAGUAAAGGUGCCUUUAUUAAGCAGGGGAGGAGGGUCAUGAAUAUUUGGCAGUUGCUUUAUGUCCCUUGAUUCCAGAAGUCUCAUUUAAAAAGCAUAUAGUUAUAUCCUUUCAACAGUUAACUUUCUUUUUUUGUUGUUGUUGGUUUAAGAUUUUAUUUUUUUAUUUGAGAGAGAGAGAGAGAAAAAGAGAGCAG